rnacentral:misc_RNA from 1 species
CUGGACAUCGCAGAUCCACAACCCCUGUGAACCUAACCGAAACGUGCCUCGGCGGGUGCCCGGCCCUGCGCCGGGCGCUGCGCCCGCCGGCGGCCCCCUACCCUUGUCUCUGCAGCGUGGCAUCUCAGAGUCCCAGAAAACAAGUCA